CCUACGGGAGGCAGCAGUGGGGAAUAUUGCACAAUGGGGGAAACCCUGAUGCAGCGACGCCGCGUGAGUGAAGAAGUAAUUCGUUAUGUAAAGCUCUAUCAGCAGGGAAGAAAAUGACGGUAACUGAGUAAGAAGCCCCGGCUAACUACGUGCCAGCAGCCGCGGUAAUACGUAGGGGGCAAGCGUUAUCCGGAUUUACUGGGUGUAAAGGGAGCGUAGACGGCAGGGCAAGUCUGGAGUGAAAGGCGGGGGCGCAACCCCCGGACUGCUCUGGAAACUGUACGGCUGGAGUGCAGGAGAGGUAAGUGGAAUUCCUAGUGGAGCGGUGAAAUGCGUAGAUAUUAGGAGGAACACCAGUGGCGAAGGCGGCUUACUGGACUGUAACUGACGUUGAGGCUCGAAAGCGUGGGGAGCAAACAGGAUUAGAUACCCCUGUAGUC
rnacentral:rRNA from 1 species